GCCGGUGUGAUGGAAUUGGCAGACGUGCUGGACUCAAAAUCCAGUUCCCGCGAGGGAGUACCGGUUCGACCCCGGUCACCGGCACCA
rnacentral:tRNA from 1 species